rnacentral:rRNA from 1 species
UACAGAGGGUGCGAGCGCUAAUCGGAAUUACUGGGCGUAAAGCGUGCGUAGACGGUUAUGUAAGUCGGAUGUGAAAGCCCCGGGCUUAACCUGGGAAUGGCAUUCGAGACUGCAUAGCUAGGAUGCGGAAGAGGGAAGUGGAAUUUCCGGUGUAGCGGUGAAAUGCGUAGAUAUCGGAAGGAACACCAGUGGCGAAAGCGACUUCCUGGUCCAGCAUCGACGUUCAGGCACGAAAGCGUGGGGAGCAAACAGG